UACAGAGGUCCCAAGCGUUGUUCGGAUUCACUGGGCUUAAAGGGCGCGUAGGCGGCUUGCCAAGUCAGGGGUGAAAUCCUGCAGCUUAACUGUAGAAGGGCCUUUGAUACUGGCGAGCUCGAGGGAGGUAGGGGUAUGUGGAACUUCCGGUGGAGCGGUGAAAUGCGUUGAUAUCGGAAGGAACGCCGGUGGCGAAAGCGACGUACUGGACCUCUUCUGACGCUGAGGCGCGAAAGCUAGGGGAGCAAACGGG
rnacentral:rRNA from 1 species